AUUGAACGCUGGCGGCAUGCCUUACACAUGCAAGUCGAACGGUAACAGGUUAAGCUGACGAGUGGCGAACGGGUGAGUAAUGUAUCGGAACGUGCCCAGUCGUGGGGGAUAACUGCUCGAAAGAGCAGCUAAUACCGCAUACGACCUGAGGGUGAAAGCGGGGGCUCGCAAGACCUCGCGCGAUUGGAGCGGCCGAUAUCAGAUUAGGUAGUUGGUGAGGUAAAGGCUCACCAAGCCGACGAUCUGUAGCUGGUCUGAGGGGACGACCAGCCACACUGGGACUGAGACACGACCAUGACUCCUACGGGAGGCAGCAGUGGGGAAUGUUGGACAAUGGGCGCAAGCCUGACCCAGCCAUGCCGCGUGCGGGAAGACGGCCUUCGGGUUGUAAACCGCUUUUGUCAGGGAAGAAACGGUUCUGGCUAAUACCUGGGACUCAUGACGGUACCUGAAGAAUAAGCACCGGCUAACUACGUG
rnacentral:rRNA from 1 species